UCCUGACCUAAAAAUUAAGGAAUAAUGGAAUACACUAAGUGGAAUAACUUCUUCAAGUAUAUGAAGUAGACAAGAAUAUUCAAUAUCUUUGCAAAGUUUGAAUUUCUGAAGUAGUUUUGAUCUAAUUUUUAACCAUCCCAGAAAGACAGCAUUGAUUAAAAUAUUGAUGCGAAAAGGUUUGGGCUUGUUUGGUAAAACUGAUCCAAAUAUCUUGUKGUAUACAUUUCCCAACAUGAAGUGAUACAUCUUGAUUAUGUCUUCUUGAAGAUUAAGAAAGACAUGAAAUGGGCCUUGCUCUGGGAUUAUUGAAAGAAUACUUGGAUUAUUCGAUCGAGCUAUCAGCUUCUUUUGAUAGAACCAUGUUGGCCAGUCUCCAGGAGCYGGCAGUACAUAUUGCUGAAGACACUUUUACUUGGAUACUGCUGUGUUGGCUUCCUCUUUUUAAAGAAAAAAAGUACCUUGAUAGCAGCCAUUAUAUGUUGUUGCUCCUGGGUAGGUGUGGAUUAGCUGCUGCUUUUGUUGAUCAACAUUCCUUGGACUGGUGCUAAAGCCAAGGACCCUUCCAGCAUUUAUGGCAGAACGUGAGGCUCCAUGCUCUUGGAGAAAAAGGCCUUCAUCUUUCUGGAGUGAGCAAGUUUUUUGUGAUCUAUUGAUUCAGAAACAAAAGAAACAGUGUUGCUGAAGUAAUAAUUAAAAUUAAAUUCCAAGAAAGGGAAAGUAUUAUUAUCCUUAGAUACAUAUCACAGAUAUCUAGCUUAAAGCACCAUUCCUCAGUCACACAGCUUAUCAUAUGAUAUUAUGAAACCUCUACCUGAAAUAGGCAAGUGUGUGCAACAAAACAACAGUUCUUUGUUCUUGGACAGCAGUAUAUUCCUCACUGAGGCGGGCAUCUUCCCUGGAUAUAGAUUUUAAGACCAGAUCAUACAACCCAGGUACAUGACUUUUUGUAAAUUCUCUCAUCGACUGUGGACUGUAGAGCGGGGAAUCAUUGUUGGCUGUGUAGUGGUGGUACAAUGCAAGUUGAAAGCGUUGCACUAGAUCAUCAAAUGAGCUGUCUGUAUUUAAAAAUAAAAUUGAAUUAAAUCAGAGCAAGGUUAUAGUAA